rfam:Danio rerio chromosome 4, GRCz11 reference primary assembly.
GUCUCUGUGGCGCAAUCGGUUAGCGCGUUCGGCCGUUAACUGAAAGGUUGGUGGUUCAAGCCCACCCAGGGACG